GCCAUUCGGUCAAGUCCCAGCCUAUGAAGACGGAGUUCUGAAACUCUUUGAAUCGAGAGCGACUACCAAGCACAUCGCAAUUGAGCACUAAGGGAAGGGAACAGAGCUGAUCUACCAUGACGUGAA